AAUAAUCUCAUUUUUCGUUUUUCCGUGUCUAACGUUUGACCAUUCGUCUUAUUUAAAAUUUUUUGCGAUUAAAAUUUUUAUUAUUACUAGAUGAUAAAAUAUGUAUAGUACUUUAUACGUGACUAAUUUUUUUUAAGUUUUUAUGUAAAUUUUUCAAAUAAGAUAAUGGUUAAACGUUAGACACGGAAAAACA
rfam:Oryza brachyantha chromosome 5, whole genome shotgun sequence.